UAUGCAUAAUUUAACUCUUGGCUCGAGGAAGAAACUUUGAUUGGAUUUUGUUACAAUGUCACACUAGAAUCGAAAUAAAAAAGAGCCCGUUUGUCUGGGAACUCUCUCAAUGGAAGUUCUGGUGAUUUUUUCCAUUUUUCCGGGUGAUCCAUGGGCAUUCAAUGGAGGCAUGGCUACUACUGGCAUACCUUCAGGGGAGUUGGCUUGGAUCCCUUUGGAAUGCCAACCCUAAAGAGACCAUGGGAUGAUGGAACCGAGCGCAUGGCAAUGCAAAGAGCAGCUCUGAGGUGCUUUUGAAUUUUUUAGUAAACUUGGAGUCAAGUACUGGACUUUCCAUGACAGGGAUGUAGCUCCUGAAGGUGCAACACUGGAAGAGACAAACAGUAAUCUUGACGAGAUAACACACCUAGCUAUGGAACUAAUAGCAAAGACAGGUGUAAAACUUCUGUGGAAUAUCUGCAAUCUCUUUGCCAAUCCAGGGCUUCAAGAAACUAAUUUGCAUAAGAACACACUGAAGUGUAAAGUAAUUUCAUGAGAAAAAUAAUGGUUGCAAAAUUGUUUUUAACUGAAUCUUAAUAAACUUCCUUACAUAUCAGGAUCGCUUUGUUCAAACAAUUAUGAUAAUUAAUAUGUAAAAGUUUACUCAAUACUUGUUUUUCAUAUCACAGUGAUUGAUCAAAGACUCGUAACAAUGUUACUAAGACAUCACAAUGUGUACGCGAGAGCCACAUAAAAACUUCCUCGUGGAAUUUAUUUCAAUAACACAAACUACACAUUUUAUAGGAAUGGCUGGUUUGGU